rnacentral:pre_miRNA from 11 species
GCGUGAUGGCUUGGUGGUCGUAUGUAUGACGUCAUUUACUUGUUCUUUUAGGAGUGACAUCAUAUGUACGGCUGCUAAACUGCCACAUGGGA